UGUUAUGGCGGCCGUGCGUGGGCGGGCUUCGGCCCGGCCGGUUUCCUAGAGUGCCGGUUUCUCACCCCGCGUACGGUCGCCCCCAAU
rnacentral:antisense_RNA from 1 species